UUUCACUUUUCAAUUCUUUUGUAUUGUUUCGGUUUACAAAAGGAGAGGUCACAAGGUUAGAUAACGUAUCUAUUGAACCUGGCUGAGAUUUGGUGAUUGCGUGAUUAGAGAGUUGCUGCAAUAAAAAAGAUUAAUGAACCUUACAACAAUACCCUUCUCUUUCUCUAAUUCGGAUCCCCUUGUAAGGCCAUUUUGUGUUUGCAUACGAAUAAUAACCAUUGCAUACGAAGGGGCGUCAGUGUCUUGCAGUGUUUGGGAGACGAAAGGGGCGGUUGGCGGCCCAGGAGGACGCCGGCCAAGUGGAGAAGGGGCAAGGUGUGGCCUUUGGCCAUGAAUGGAAGUAUGACAGCAUGUAGCGGCAAAGAGGGUUCGAGAGACCCCAUUUCUUUCUCUCUGAGUUUGAGGGUGUGGCUCUGAUUUUCAAGCUUCACGGCUGAGUUGGACGAGGACAAGUAUUUUACUAAUCCAAGAACUUUGGAAGCACAGAGAAUAAAGAUAAUUCGCAUCCAAUGGACAAGAUGUUUUCUAAGAGUUACAAAUAAAACACUAAGUGUUUAAGGAAUUUUACAUUUGUAGAGUUAUGUUUAGCUUAGGUUACAAAUGAUUUUAUGUAUUAAAAUUAUUGUUUCGUUAUUUGAUAGUUAUUAUUCAAUGAUAAUUUGAGCAUAAUAUAAUUUAUUGUCUGGAUU